UUCGCAAUGCCCGAAAGGGUGAACGAGCGACGCCGCGUGUGGGAAGAAGGCCUUCGGGUUGUAAACCACUGUCGGGAGUUAAGAAAUGCAAGGAUAUUAAUAGUGUCUUUGUUUGACUAAGGCUCCGGAGGAAGCCACGGCUAACUCCGUGCCAGCAGCCGCGGUAAUACAGAGGCGGCAAGCGUUGUUCGGAAUUAUUGGGCGUAAAGAGCACGUAGGCGGCUAUGUAAGUCGGUUGUGAAAGCCUUCCGCUCAACGGAAGAACAGCAUCCGAUACUGCAUGGCUUGAGUGCGGGAGGGGAGAGUGGAACUUCUGGUGGAGCGGUGAAAUGCGUAGAUAUCAGAAGGAACGCCGGCGGCGAAAGCGGCUCUCUGGCCCAUAACUGACGCUGAGUGUGCGAAAGCUAGGGGAGCAAACGGGAUUAGAUACCCCGGUAGUCCUAGCCGUAAACGAUGGGCACUAAGUAGAGGGGUUUU
rnacentral:rRNA from 1 species